AAAAAAGUGUGUUUUUCUUAAACUUCUUCAACUCUUUUUUUUUUUUUUUUUUUGGUCUCUAACCUUUUGAUACAAGCUGAUAUUUGACUCUUUCCGUGUAGGCUUAGCAGUGUGUUCUCCUGUUGGUUACUGGAGUAUUUCCCAGUCAAAAGAAAACCAAACAUUUUGGUUCUCUACUCUUGGGUCACUUCCUAAGCUUGGAGGUCUGGUUGGUAACAGUCCAGUGCACCAGUUUUACACAGUAACAGGUUUUUGCUUGAAUAACUUCAAGCUGUUCUCUUGGCAUGAUUGCAUUUACUAGCAGCUGAUGAUCCACUGUCAUUCUUACGGCACUAGGAAUUAAAUGCACUGUGUGAACAAUGCCUAGAGUGGGAGGAAAGAGUUGUUGACACUUUGCCUUGCUUCCUGCUGGGCAGUUUGUGCAGUGAUUAGCUCUAAAGGGAUUUUUUUUUUUGCCUGUAAGUUACCUUGGCCUAUAACCUACCUCUAGGUUUGGUGUCAUCUAUGUAGUAGCUUCUUACAAAACACAAAUGCUCCUCAGGCAUGAGGAGGACAUUGGGAAGUACUGUUGGUACAGUGCAGUAUUUAUGACCUUUCUUUAAAAUGCUUAAUGUGAACCUGUUUUUUCAGAGGCUCUUUCAAGGUUCUUGAUGUAAUGUGCAUUACAGUAUAGUUAGACAUCAUUGUAACCUCUCUCAAGGGCAGCUGUGGCUUAAGAAAGCCGUUCUGGUUUUGUUUUUUUCUACAUCUGUCACUUAACUAUGGCUUAAUUGGAACAUAUCAGCUUUUGAUGUAGGCUCAUAGGCUAGAGAACUGUAAUAGUCCAAGCAAACAGUCCAUGAGUUCUGGAGACUUCGUAAAACCACAGAAGUAGAACUGUAGUGGUUUGUCCUCUGAACUCCUCAGUUCGUUUUACAGGCUCCGUUCUGUUUCUCCUGUUAUAUUUUAUAUACUACAUGGAUCUUACUACAAAAUAAAAGUACAAAAGAGGAAAUGCUUCCUCCUGUGUGUUGUCUGCUCCUCCCACCAAGGGCAGGUGGAUGCAGCAGCUGUUUGGAACAGCGCUGCAUUCCUUAUGGCAGUGACUGAGGAAGACACAUGCAGGACUGGGGAGGAUUCCGGUAGGGCUUUAGGAUUUCACACUCCCUAUACUCACUCCUGUUUUCCCUAUGGUGAUGAAUGAACCUUUGGUUUGUUGUAUGGCUGAUCAGCUGCAGAUGAUUUGUGUCUAUAAGGAGAUGUUGUGUGUGCCCAGUAACAUGGAAUUGCCUUCUGCUGCCUCUGCGAGCCCAAGGAGUAAAGGAAGGACACAAAGCAACAGGUAUUUGCAGUGUUCUUCCAUUUGCUUGAGAGGCGUGAGCAAAGACCCUUUCAAAGUAGCAACUGUACUGAGAUGAUGUAUGGGACAUCCCCUUCCUAAAUGCUAAUCAGAUACUGAAAAUUCCUGCUCAUUGGUUUCUGAUGUAGGAAGUAUGUCAAAAGUAAUUUUGAGAGAGAUUAAAAGUAAGCCUUGGAAACAAUUAUUCCAUAAGUUUAUAUAGCUGAACUUUCUAAUUCCUCCAAAAUACUCACUUAGUUUUUGCUCUUGGUCAUGACAAUUUAUGUGUUAAACCCUCAGUUUUUCCUAUGUUGACAACCAGUAAACUAACUAUGCUAGCUUAUGUAGUUCUAUUCAGUUUUUUCACUGUAUCUGGAAACAGUCAACCACUUACGAUUUGCUGCUGGAAAUACUAGAGCUUAUCAAUCAUUAAACUGAUUUUAAUUAAAAGUAGCCCAUCAAGGCUGUUGUGGGAAAAACUCUUUUUUCUUUGUAUUUAUUCAUGGUAUAACACAAACAGUGCUUGUACAUGCUGAUGGAAAUGCAGGGUUAUUAAAAGUAGUUUCAGGGAGUGUUGGUAAAUAAAAACUCCCCGCACAAAAGUGAACAUGAAAAUGUUCUUUGCUUGGCUUGAAACUGAAAUAUGUCGAUAACUUGCUCGUAUUUGUCAGCUUCCCAUGGGAACAAGGAGUUGCUAUGCACUCCCUUCUGCCAGGAUCUUCACAAGUAAUGUUUUGGAUUUGGUGUGUACAAGAUGAGCUCCAGAGGUCUUAGAGCUGAUUUAAUUACUGAGCAGUAUGUUGAUUGACCAGUGUCAGGAAGGAACUGAGGAAGCUUUAGCAGCACAGUAAAGCUGUACUGUAUGUAAGAGAUGAACUCAAGCCUCUCCUGAGGAAUGUCCAGGAAGGAUCCUCCUAACAUUCCCUAGAAUCAGACUGUGCUGCUCCAGACAGUAGGGAUGUACAGAGGGACUGAACAAACUGCUCCUUACAUGAAGGUGAGUGAAUUCUUCUACUGGCACUUCAGAUCAGUUUGGUUUUAUUACUUGAAGACAAUACUGGUUUCUUCAACAAAGUGAACAGACUUUAUUUUGGAGAUGCAGAUUUCACUAAUUCAAUGGUCCAUGUUUUGUACUUGAGCAAAUGAAGUGAUGCAGAACAGAAGCACAUCACAACAGCAGCCACAGCAGCUUUGCAGGAGUGAUAGCAGAAGUGCAGAGAAUGGUUAUUCACCUUCAACUGUUUGCUUUCCCAUCAAGUAAUGUUUUUUUAUUUAUUCCUCCACUUUCAAAGACCGGUUUGCAGACACUGAAGAACUUCAUGGAUUUAUUCAGAAACAUGAGGGCUGCAGUGUCAAUCAAGAAUUCAGGUAGCCAAGUGGAGCAAGCAAAGAGACUAAUUCUAAAAUCAGUUGUCUUGGUAUGUUUGGGUGGAAGCUUGGGUUGAUUCCUAGAGCAGGGUUAUUGGGAAUUAAGCUUUCAUUCACAUCCAUCUGUGUUGGGCAAGAAAUAGCACUUGUACAUCUUCCAGUGCCUUGGGUUGCCUUUAUUCCAGCACUGCUCUGCUUCCUAUGUGUACUUUGUAAAUAACUGAACACAAAACUGGAUGUUUCUUAAGAGAGCUACAUCUCUGUGCAAUUGGUAUAAAAAAGCUACUUCUACAUAAUAAGCACACGGUAUUCAGUGGCCUGUCAGUACUUUGAACACCCUCUCACUACACAACAGACCCACAGCUUGCUCAGAUACUGUUUUUUCUUGACAAAUGGUGUCUUAUAGAUCCUCAAAUAUUAGGUGGCAUUUCCUUGAACUUUGCAUUUACAGGUAGAUUUUUGUAGCUAAGCUAAAUUAGUUGCCUCCUUAAAGUAAAAGGAGAUUAUCUGCUCAUUUGAGUUCUUGAAGCUGUUUUGAUAUUUUUGAUUAAGUAUUAAUGCUGAGGCAAACAUUGAAACAAAAAAUCCCGUUCCAAGGCCCUUUGACCUUUCAGUGCACAUAUCCCAGCUGAAUAAAAGGAGUUAUGCAACCUCUUGCCCUCCCUUGCACCAUCCUUGUGGCAGCUAUAGUAACUGCUUAUGUCGAAAGGUAAUAUUAGAAAAUAUUUAAUAUAUUUUUAGAUUAUAUUUAAUGCAACUUAGCUGAUAAAGAAGAGCCAGUGCUGAGACCAGCUCUCCACAGAUAUUGGGAAAUGUGGCACAAAUUCCAUUUUGAGAACAGCAGAUCUCAUUUUGAGGCCAUGUGUGAAGCUGGGAGUUUCUGAGUGAUGCAAAUUGUAACCAGAUACAGCUGUUGUGAGUAUUGUCUGAGAACCAGAACUGUUGAAUUUGGACUGACAGCACAGUAUGCUGCUACUUUCAAACUGCUUGGGCCCUCAUGUUCAUUAUGAUUCAGGAUGGCAAGUAUUUGUCAGGAAAGAACAAAUGAACUAGAACAAGAAUUCACUUGCAUUGAAUAAAUAUGGCCUAAUUACACCUGGUGAAGCGAUGUCCUUUUGCUCGAGCGGGGAGUUGCCACACUGCUGCAAAGGCAAAACAUGGCCAGGAGAACAGAAAGGGUCAAGCAGAGCCAUGGAGUUCCUGGGACAAGCAGGAGCAGUGUGUGUACUUGUGACCCCAUUCUCUCCAUGUGCACCUUCCUGGGAUGUGGUGGUGGGGUUUGUCUGUGGCGGUAAGUCCGAACCAUUCCCUGUUUGCCAUCACUGCUGACUCAAUAAAUGACACAAUUGAGGUGAGCGUGUGUUUUGUGGAAUUU